UGUACAAAAUAAAUAAUUACAUUAUAAGUAGACAACGGUCCAGCACCCAAAGUUGACUCAGAAACGACGACCUAAACCUCUCACGAACACAUCGCAGCAUCCUCCACGCGCCUCAUCCGGUGGUACCUGUUCUUGACCUGUGGGGGGUGUGAGACAGCAAGAGUGAGCUCACAUACGUUCAUCGCUCAACAAGUUGUGGGGAAUAAUGUGCAUGAACUCGCCAAAGGUGGGAGCUCAUGUGAAGUGUAAGGCUUACCAAAGAGGAUGGUUAGAGCUGAGCAUUGCUUUUAAAGUUGGUCAAAAUUUUAUUAGCAAUUACUAAGUAUAAGUAAAUACCAACCCAAUUAAGUAGUAGAACAAAAGUAACAAUCUCACCUGCGAUGCAAUGCAUAUGACAAAUUGAGUUUAAGUUCCAUAAUUUAAUCAUGUGAGUGUCCGAGCCGCUCAUGACCGUGAGCACGGCUAGUAUACCAGUUUUACACUCUGCAGAGGUUGCGCAUCUUUACCCACAAGUCGUGUUACCCAUUUGCCACGGAGUUGAUCAGACUCCAUACACCUCUACCAAGGAAGCGAGGCAGGGUACUACUACGAGGCCUUUACAAAGUUCCACUAGCUUCAGACUACCCGCUACAGUUUAUAGGAAGCUCCAGUGCAGGGUUCUUGUCUGACCGCCAUCGCAGCAAAAUCAACCCAAGGACCUCCCUACACUGACCACUCCCCUACUGCCCUUGCCCCUUUCGGGUAAGGUAGCCCUCCACUAGCUUUCCUAGUUAAUCAGCCAAGGGCGUCCCAUUAAACCCUUAUGGUAGCACUGUUUUCCCGGGUGGUUCUCCAUGUUCCCAUUAACAUAAUGAUCUUAACAUGAACAGUAAAGAAUAAAACAGAUAAUAGGAAGUAUAACAAUGAGUGAUGAAUAUCUCUAUACCCAAAUCCACAUAAAGCAAUAGCAUGAACUACCCAAAACUUUAGUAGUAAAACCAGGGGUGAAACAAGGUAUAAAGAUAGUCAAAAUCUAGGGUAUCCUAUUGGGUCCCAUCAAAAUUAACCUAUGCAGAUCAUUAUGAUUAAUAAGAACAUGAAUGGGUAAAAGAAGUGAUCAAGGGCACAACUUGCCUUCCACGAGCUCCUGCUCAGCAGUCUCUACUUGUUGAACCUUAGAUUCCACAGUGACUUGCUCGUCUACUCGCAUCAACACAAUACAUACAUAGUAUAGCAUAAAUUAACAUCACACCAAACAUGUAAAUAAAAUAUACAGUAAAAAUCUACACAUUAAAAUGAGAUCAUAGGAACUGGAAUCAUUAAAUUUGGAGCAACAGAUUUUAAGAUAUGAAUUUCUGAAGAUUUUAUGUAUUUAAUAUAGGGUUAAGUGAGAAAUAAAUUUUAAUGUGUAUUUCAGGUAAAAACAGUGGUACUAUUUGAUAGAGAAUAAUAUUACAAAAUUAUAGGAACUGAAAUGGUCCAAUUUGGAGUUCAUAUGGAUUUUCUACAAAUUAAACAAGUUCUAGUAAUUAUUUUUGUAUUAAAAAUGCAUUUCUGAUUUAUUUUCUCUGUUUUUCGAGUUUUCUGAACUGCGCCUCAAUUCCCAGAAAGGUCAGGGGGUCUAGCGCAAGAUUUUCACAGACACAGACUACUAUACAUUAGACUGCGGGUUGAUUUAUCAAUACUGGAAGGGCUCUUUUGCUAAUACGUUUCGUGAAGGGGUAUCGACCAACACGGGCCACCCGAUCGAGUCUGGACGGACGCGAUUAGAUCCCCAUCGAAUCAAACGGGUACGCAAUGCUGAUCCUCGGAUCUAGAUCCGAUGGCCAAUAUCCUACGAUCCCGAGAUCCGACCCUAACCCUCCGAUCACGAUCCUACUGCCGAGAUGAAUUUAGCGAAAAGGGCCGCGUGUCGCCUAAUCUCCACCGCUCAUCCUUGAAUCUACGGCUAGGGAACUUCUUCCCCGACCGAGGUCGAGCGGCAAAAAGGCCCAGGUCGCUCGUGGAGGCGCGCUCGCCGGUGACUGGCGUCACCCUCCCUGGUGACCAAUCCAUGGAUUGGACUGGCACAAAGCGGUAAAUAGGACUGGGCGAAAGUGUACGGCGUGUCAUACCUAUGGCUUGCGCAGACGUCGAGGCUGGUCACGGCACAGGGCGGGUAUGCGGCCGAGCGCCAACUCCGGCGAGGAAUCAACAGGCACCAAACGACUCCAAUCGUUCGAGACUGUCGCCAACACGCGCAGAUGGCGAUAUCAAUCUUCACCCGAACUCGAGCAGAAAGUAGAGGCGCAGAUGGUAGUGUAAUCGGAUUUGGCAAGUGGUAGUUUCAUGGGUCGCGGCGGCGCGUUGCCGUGCAUGAUGGGAAAGGGUCAAAGGGGCGAGUUCCAGGAAUAUAUAGCGCAGAACUCAAUGGAACAGGCAGGGAUCAUUCGGGUCGCAACUGAAUCGCUACGGAUGCGGUGGGAGGUCCGCGCCGAGGAGGUAGCCGGGAGGUGCGGAAUCCGUUGCCGCAUCCGCGAUUCUGGCGAGGAAGACGACUAUGGUGCCAUGGGCCCACCAGUCGGUUGGCGUGAGCGUGAAUAGCGGGCGGUGGCCGACAGCCGGGUCCCGCGCACAAGUGAGUCCGGCCGUGGCGACGUUGGCUGGCGAGGAGAGAAUGUGUAGUGGGCCAAAAUGGUUAGGGGCUGGCCCAAAUAGUGUUUUUGACCUUUUCUUUUUAUUUUCCCACCUUCCUUUCUUCAUUUUAAACUUCACUUUAAAUUCAAAUUUAAUUAAAACUUUUUUUUGUGGUUCUUCCUUACAAAUUAGAUUUGUGAAAUUAGGGUAUUAACCCUGGAGUUAUUUAUUUAUGUAUAUUAUUUACCUAUUCAUCUCCUUUAUCUUUUCUGCACAAUUCUAGAAUUUCCUUUUAAACUUUAAAUUCCCAUUUAGAUAUUAAUACAUUUUUUACUCUAUUUUUAUAUCAUCACAAAAUGCACACAAAAUAAAGCCUCGGCAUGAUGCACAAUUUAAUUACUUUUACCAAUCCUUUGUUUUUAAAUGAGGUGUUCACAUGGGAUGAUAAUUAGAGACACACACAUAUAUAAAGGAAACAAUUUCUCCUUUUAUUCUUCCUUACAAUUUGGGUGUUACAAAUCCUACCCCCCUUAAAAAUAAUCUCGUCCUCGAGAUUUGUAAGAAAAAAAGGAUUAUACCAAGAUUGGUUUGUAAUUGAAGUUGUAGUUUCUAAUUGAUUCAAAAAUUAAGAGUCUCUCUUUUUUUUAAAUACAAUUUAGCAAGUACUUAGAAAUGCAUGGGUAUCUUCUAGUUUAGACACACAGUUAGGUAAGAAGAGAGAUGGUCAAAGUGAGGUUAGCUGAUGGUAAGAAGAACUUGGUAAGGGAAGACUCCAUCGAAGGUGGUAAAUCUUGAAUCAUCUCGAGAUCUGAUUUGACUCCUAUUCUUCCAUGUCGAGGUUGAUCUCCUCCUUCUUGCUCUUUGGUGUCUCCAUCUGGGUUUGGGACAAGAGGCUAAGAUAGAUCUGUUAUGUAAGUCAAGUUGUUGGGUAUGGCCUUAUCUUUUGUACCAGCAUUAAGUAACUUACUCUAGAUUAGAUCAUAAUAGAUUAGAUAAAAGCUAGAUUAGAUUGGAUAUGACUAGAUUAGACUAGUUAAAAUCUAAAUAAUUUUUUUUGGAUUAGCUUAUGGUUGUUAUUCUAGAGUGGGAUAAAUAUGCUGAUUAGGGCAAGAUGGAUCCAUAAGGAUAAGGUAGAAUCUUUUGAGGUUAGUUAGAUCUAUUAGGAUGAGAUAAAAUCUUUUCAAGAUAAGAUGAAUCCAUUAAGGUAAGAGAGUCUUUUAAGAUAAGAUGGAGCUAUUAGGUUAGAUAUAUUUUAAUUAGGAUAAUCUAGGUUGUUUAGUUAUCUUAUGAAUUUUAUUUAUUUACAUUUAUGCAUAUAUGUAUAUGUAGAUGUAAUUGUGGACAUUACUCCACAACUCAUCCCACUCAAUCAAAGAUCCAAAUCAGACAAGUAUCAUAAGAACAAACAUUCAAGCACAUAGAUACCAAAAAAAUAAUUUUGUUUUUGUUCCUAAGAGUAGGUCUCCUAUUCCUAAAGGUCACUUUAAGCACAUGAUUUCAAAGUGUGAAAUCCACAUGUGUCUUUAGAAAGAAAAGGUAAGAAUAAUCAGAGUAAGCGGAAAUAGAUGAGAAAAGAUCAAGGAAAGUUUUGGAAAGAAUCAGAGUAGCAAAGGUAAGUAAGCAUUGGUUGUCCAGUUCUAUCUAGGUUUCGUCCUACAGUCAACAUUCCUCUGAUACCACUUCUGUCACACCCGGAUUUCGGGGCACCAAGACCCGGGCGCGAACAUAAUCACCAGGUGUGCUGGGACCAAGUCUCACACAAGUGAUGAAUCAUGGCACAGGAUCGAAUGUCACAUCUUUACUAUAUAAUAGGAGUUUUGUACAAAAUAAAUAAUUACAUUAUAAGGAGACAACGGUCCAGCACCCAAAGUUGACUGGGAGACGACGACCUAGACCUCUCACAAACACAUCGCAGCAUCCUCCACGCGCCUCAUCCGGUGGUACCUGUUCUUGACCUGUGGGGGGUGUGAGACAGCAAGAGUGAGCUCACAUACGUUCAUCGCUCAACAAGUUGUGGGGAAUAAUGUGCAUGAACUCGCCA
rnacentral:lncRNA from 1 species